CGGAGGGAGACGGACCGGAGCCAACUGGGGAUUGGCCGUGGCGGGCCGAGGAGGCGUGGUCAAUGCGCGCCAGAGGGAGAGCGAGGGAGCGGGCGGCUGGUCUGCCUGCCAGCUAGCCGGAGUCCCGGGCGUGUGCUGCGAGCCGGGGUUGGGUUGAGGAACGCGGUGCGGGAGGCGCGUCCCCCUAGCUCCUCCGCAGCCGCCCUUCGCGGCUCGAGUACCCCACUUCCUUCCCUCUCUUCUCCUGCAUUCUGGUCUGGGGGUCUCGGGGCAGGGAGCUGAGGGAAGGAACUAAAGAGGAGGACGCGAAAGCGGAGCGAGGGGCAGAGAGGGUCCCGGCGCGGGGCAUAGCGCGCGCUGCGUCUCGCUCUCCCGCCGGAACCGCCGCCUCCUCGCCCGGGGCGCCCGCACUAUGCAGGCGGACUGCCGGCCACCGCGAUGGGGAGCCGGGCGGUGGUGAGAGCCGGGCGCAGCCCUCACCGUCUCCGAGUCCGGGCCGCGGCCGCCGCCCCCGCCCGGGCCGCGCUACCCCUCUCCCGCCCUCUCCCUCCCCGCUCCAACUCCUCCUCCUCCUUCCCCAUGCCUCUGUUCCUCCUGCUCCUACUUAUCCUGGUCCUGCUGCUCGAGGACGCCGGAGCCCAGCAAGUUAUACUUUGGUGGAGACCAUCUAGAGGAGGAGGAGGAGGAGGAGAAGCUGACAGUGAUGAUGGUGUUGAUGGUGUUGGAGAAGGAGAAAGAUUUGGUGAUGUUGGAGUUACUGGUGAUGGAUGCGGACAUACUGUACUAGGCCCUGAAAGUGGAACCCUCACGUCCAUAAACUACCCACAGACCUAUCCCAACAGCACCGUUUGCGAAUGGGAGAUCCGUGUAAAGAUGGGGGAGAGAGUGCGCAUCAAAUUUGGUGACUUUGACAUUGAAGAUUCUGACUCUUGCCACUUUAAUUACUUGAGAAUUUAUAAUGGCAUUGGAGUUAGCAGAACUGAAAUAGGCAAAUACUGUGGUCUGGGAUUGCAGAUGAAUCAUUCAAUUGAAUCAAAAAGCAAUGAAAUUACAGUGCUGUUCAUGAGUGGAAUCCAUGUUUCUGGACGAGGAUUUUUGGCCUCAUACUCAGUUAUAGAGAAACAAGAUCUAAUUACUUGUUUAGACACUGCAUCCAGUUUUUUGGAACCUGAGUUCAGUAAGUACUGCCCAGCUGGUUGUCUGCUUCCUUUUGCUGAGAUAUCUGGAACAGUCCCUCAUGGAUAUAGAGAUUCCUCGCCCUUGUGCAUGGCUGGUGUGCACGCAGGAGUAGUGUCAGACGUUUUGGGUGGCCAGAUCAGUGUUGUAAUUAGUAAAGGUAUCCCAUACUAUGAGAGUUCUUUGGCCAACAACGUCACGUCUGUGGUGGGACACUUAUCUACAAGUCUUUUUACAUUUAAGACAAGUGGUUGUUAUGGAACACUGGGGAUGGAAUCUGGUGUGAUUGCUGAUCCUCAGAUAACAGCAUCAUCUGUGCUGGAGUGGACUGACCACACAGGCCAAGAGAACAGCUGGAAACCCGAAAAGGCCAGGCUGAAGAGACCUGGGCCUCCUUGGGCUGCUUUUGCCACUGAUGAGUAUCAGUGGUUACAAAUAGAUCUGAAUAAAGAAAAGAAGAUAACAGGCAUUGUAACCACUGGCUCCACCAUGGUGGAACACAAUUACUAUGUGUCAGCUUACAAAAUUCUAUACAGUGAUGAUGGACAGAGAUGGACUGUCUACAGAGAACCUGGUGUGGAGCAGGAUAAGAUAUUUCAAGGAAACAAAGAUUAUCACCAGGAUGUGCGUAAUAACUUUUUGCCACCAAUUAUUGCACGUUUUAUUAGAGUGAAUCCUACGCAAUGGCAGCAGAAAAUUGCCAUGAAAAUGGAACUGCUUGGAUGUCAGUUUAUUCCUAAAGGUCGUCCACCAAAACUUACUCAACCUCCACCUCCUCGGAACAGCAAUGACCUCAAAAACACUACAGCCCCUCCAAAAAUAGCCAAAGGUCGAGCCCCAAAAUUUACUCAACCACUACAACCUCGCAGUAACAAUGAGUUUCCUGCACAGACGGAGCAAACAACAGCCACUCCUGAUAUCAAAAAUACUACCGUGACUCCAAGUGUCACCAAAGAUGUAGCCUUGGCUGCAGUCCUAGUCCCGGUGCUCGUCAUGGUGCUCACCACCCUCAUCCUCGUAGUAGUGUGUGCUUGGCAUUGGAGAAACAGAAAGAAGAAAACCGAAGGCACCUACGACUUACCUUACUGGGACCGGGCAGGUUGGUGGAAAGGAAUGAAGCAGUUUCUCCCUGCCAAAUCAGUGGAACACGAGGAAACCCCCGUUCGCUACAGCAGCAGUGAAGUUAAUCACUUGAGUCCAAGAGAAGUCACCACAGUGCUGCAGACGGACUCUGCAGAGUAUGCACAACCACUUGUGGGAGGAAUUGUUGGCACCCUUCAUCAGAGAUCCACCUUUAAACCAGAAGAAGGGAAAGAAGCAAGUUAUGCUGACCUAGAUCCUUACAACUCCCCGGUCCAGGAAGUCUACCAUGCUUAUGCUGAACCACUGCCGAUUACCGGGCCCGAAUAUGCAACCCCAAUCAUCAUGGAUAUGUCCGGGCACCCCCCAGCCUCAGUUGGUCUUCCCUCAACGUCCACUUUCAAAGCUACAGGGAACCAGCCUCCCCCUGUGGUGGGAGCCUACAACACUCUUCUCUCCAGGACCGACAGCUGCUCGUCCGCCCGCGCCCAGUAUGACACCCCAAAGGGUGGGAAACCAGGUGCCAGUGCCCCAGGCGAACUGGUGUACCAGGUGCCACACAGCACACAGGAGGCGUCAGGGGCCAGGGGGGAUGGUGAAUGUGAUGGUUUUCAAGAAACUCUUUGAAGGGGAUGCUGCUUGUUACAAAGCAUGGUUGUAAAGCACAUGGCCUUUCUUGUGUGUUAGUGGUAGUAAUGUAGAGAAUGUAUUACCUGCCUGUCACAGCUGUGGUCGGGGAAGAUGUGAGGACCGAGGUACAGGGAACUGCUAAUCUUGCCAUCUUGCUUUAAGAGCAUUCCUGUGGCAGUGACGGCUUGCCUGUUAAAUUUCAAACAUCCUGUUUGUUACUACUGUAAAACACGAUUUUUUAAUACAGAAAAAGCUCCCUACUAUGCACUUCAAAGAAAUUAAAAAUCACUGAGUAUUUAUUACCGAUGCUGCAGGUACAUUGAUGAACUCGAGGUGGCUCUGUACGCCUGACUGGCAAUAACGCGUGGUACUGUUCUUGAAAUGUCUGAUGGCUUGAAAUGUUGCUCUUUGUGAAAGUAAAAUACUGAAAGAAGUAGAAGCCAGCAUGAAUUCUUCAACUCUGUGUGAGGGUGCCCGCUCUGUGUCGUAGGAGUUGUGACAGUCCUUUACUGCAUGCCUGUGGAACAGAUGUUCUAGCAUCCUAGCAGGUGAAUAUUGACGUCUGUUUUUGAUACUUCCAGGCAACUUCUUUGUCACCAUUUGCCCAGAACUAGUUUUAGAUGGGUGAAAUAAAAAUUCAUUUAAUUUAUUAGCCCAUAGUGUAAGAAUCUUUAAAAAUCUUUGGCAAGAUGAGAAGCUGGCCCUGUGUUUAAAACAUAUACUCUCCCAUCAGGUUCUAGCCAUUUCUUGAUUGUUUCCAGAAUUUGCUAGAUGUGAGAAAAGACAGUGUUCAUUUUGCUUGCUUCCAGGUAUAUCAGUAUUUUAAAGUAUUGCUUCAAAAACAAUUAUUUCUGCAGCCUCUCUGCCAUAUAGUAUUAUUUUUGUUGGUGUUACCUUCAUUUGCUUUUGCUUUUCCAGACAAACUUUGAGGCAUAAUUUUAUUCAUUGAAAAAAUAUAUUGUUUCCAAACAUUUGAAACAAAAAGCACAGAUGUUGAACUUUAUUAAGACAUGAAUGUGUAAAGCACAUUUAUUAAUGCAGUCAUCCCCUUUCAGGUGGGAAGAGAGUAAACCAAUUUAUUUUUUUAUUUAUCCUCAGUACACAGUGAACGUACUUCUCCAAUCACAUGCCUGUUUGAGAAGCUUUAAGAGAAAUGACCCCAUUUUCCCAAAGAUGCUUGUUUUUAUUUAAUUUUGUGCACCUGAUUUUCCCAUGGAACUUUUUUUGAGAGGCAAAUGUUUUCUUCUCAAAUGAUGCAUGUUUUUGCCACUGUGCAGUCCUUGAACUACAAGUGAUUUUUACAAAAUAGUUUUUAUUGCUUUUGUAUAUUUUACUUUCCAAAUGAAGAGCUGAGCCUGAUACAAAGGGUUAUUCUGGUUUUGUACUUUUAGUUCAUUUGUUUUCAUAUUAGAGUUUUGUUUUGGGUUUUAACUACAUUUAUAUGUCUGAUGCAGCUGUGGAGACAAUCAACUGAAAAUGUGAAAGUAACUUUUUUUUUUCGUUACUAAAUUCCCUUGAAUUUUUACUCUUUGCUUGAAACAUGUUAAAGACUUAAGUCACUCUGGUUUAUUGGAUUUUUUUUUCCUGUUAACACAAUGAUAAAAAUCGAAUCAGUGGUACAGCAAGUGUGGCCCCUGCAGGUUUUCAUAACGUCACACCAACUUCACUGUUACAUAAUCUUAGGAACCAGCACAGUUAAAGAUAUUGUGAAUACUGAUUUAUAUUUUAUUAAAAGCUAUAACACUAAAUAGAUCCUAUUGUAUGUGCAGGGUCUAGUCCAGUUAUUUAAAUUCAAGUUUCACUAUUUGCACUUUGCAUUGAACAAUGGGUUUAUCCGCUGAUGAAAUGGUUUGUGUAGAGAAUUUAUACAGCAGUUGAAACUAUGGUGUCAUGUGCACUCUUGUCCUCCCCUGCCCCAGUAGAAAAUGCACUCAUCUAAAAUUCUGUGGAAGGUGAGAAAGCUUGAACUUCUUUGCCUUGGCCCCACAUUGACACCUGGAGAGCAUAAGGGCUAUGGAAGCACCAGGUCAGAGGACAGAACUAAGAUUGUGGGACAAAAACUUUUCAAACCCUUUUAAGAGAAAUCUGUUGGGCUCUACCUUUAAGAAAAACUUCCUUUUAGCUCUGCUUUUCUGUUCUGAACUUGAAGUCCCUAAACUGCAAAAUCUAGUAAGUGUUGGAUGGUUAUUAAAAUACUUUUUAGUUCAACUGUGGCACCAAUUAUUUACUCCAAUUUGUGACUAGUUUUUUUGUUUGUUGUUUUUUUGGCACUGGGAAAGGUGGAAACAAAACAUUGAAAUACAUAUUGGAAAUAAAAAUGGUUUGAGGGUCAGUGAUAUUCUCCCAGAAUGUACUUUUCUUACCUCGGCAUGUACUGUAGUCACUCAGUAUUUGUAUAUGUUGCUAGAAUUUAGAUUGUAUAAAUAGUGAGAUCUUAAUGUGUUCGUGUGUUUUUAAUAAAUUGUACAUAUGUAUCUU